GGAUGCGAUCAUACCAGCACUAAAGCACCGGAUCCCAUCAGAACUCCGAAGUUAAGCGUGCCUGGGCGAGAGUAGUACUAGGAUGGGUGACCUUCUGGGAAGUCCUCGUGGUGCAUUCC
rnacentral:rRNA from 2 species